AAUCAGAGGAGCGCCUGGUCACUGAGCGCCGCUGGGUGGCUCGGGUUGCUGGCCAGCGCUGACCAAGUUUGGGAAGCCUAGGAUGGCAAAUCCCGAACGUCCAAAACUUUGUUGGGGUCCGUUGAGCCUGUGUCCCGGUGUCUUCCUGAAUCCCCUCUACCAUCACUACAUUCUGCCUUGCAGGCUUCAGGAGCAGGCACAGGGUUUUGGUGGGGGACUAGACAAAUACAGACGCGGAAUGAAAAUGCUCACUUUGCAAGUGAACGGUGGACACACGUACACACUGGGACCCAGGACAGGUGGUCCUGGGUGUUAAAACAUCUGAAGAGAGAGAUGGGGACGCUGGAAAGAAACCGGCUGUGGGAGCCAGGAGAAGGGCUGGGGAAAGAAGGAGAGGAGCAGCCUGAGGAAAGGCGAGUAAAGCAGCUGGCAAGGGCGGGAGGAAGAGGCUGCGCGCAGACCGAGCGGAGGAGAGGCUGGCAGGAGCGAGGAGAGCUGCAGGCGAGAGGGGGAGGCUGCUGGAAGGAAGCACCGGCGAACGCGGGCAGGGGAACUUCAGAGGAGGCUGCCAAAAAGGAAUGGAGCUGCAGCAGUGCGAGGCAGUGGACAAGGGGGGCAGCAACCACCAGCCCUUGGCAGCCAGCAGAGGGGAAGAUGAGCCCACGGGAAAGAAAAGCAGGCGAGGUUAAGAAUAAAGAGUGUUCCAGGUAUGACAGCUACCUCGGUGAGGUGGAAGAGAGAAUUAACAAAGCAGAUUUCAUGGCUAUCCAUAGGAGUAAAUUUAUACAGAUCCACAGAAGACUGGAUGAACAGCGUGAACAUUUUAGUAGCAGGAAACAUUGGGAGAUGUCAGAAAAAAAUGAUCUGUUUAAAGAGACAGAAGAAAAGGAGAUGGUUUAGUAGACACCUGUUAAUUUGUCUCCCUGGCAUUCAUUCAUCUUCCUCAUGGUGCCAAGAACAUACAUUGGGGAAAAGACAGCCUUUUGAAUAAAUGGUUUUGGGAUAACAGGAUACCCAUAUGCAGCAGAAUAAAACUAGAUCCUCAUCUUCCCCCAUAUAAAAAAAUCAACUCAAAAUGGAUUAGAUAUUUAAAUGUAAGACCUUAAACUAUGAAAGCACUAAAAGAAAACUUUGGGGAAGCACCAAGGACAUUGGUCUGGACAAAGAUAUUUUUGGGCAAACCUAAAAAGCACAGACAACAGAAUCAAAAACAAGCAAAUGGAAUUACAUCAAGCUAAAAGGCUUCUUCUCAGCAAAGGAAACAAUUUAAAAAGUGAAGAGAUAACCCAAAGAAUGGGAGAAAAUAUUUGCAAACCAUCUAUUCAGCAAGGGAUUAAUAACCAGAAUAAUACGGGACUGAAACAACUCAAUAACAAAUAAUCCAGUUAAAAAAUGGACAAAAGACCUGAAUAGACACUUCUCAAAAGAGGAUAUACAAAUGACCAACAGAUAUAUGAAAAAAUGCUCAGGUCACUAAUCAUCAAGGAAAUGCAAAUCAAAAACACAAUUAGAUAUCAUCUUACCCCAGUUAGAAGAGCUAUUACCAAAAACACAAAAAAUAACAAAUGCCAGUGAGGAUGCAGAGAAAAGGAAUGCUUAUGCACCAUUGGUGUAAAUAAGGUAGUGCAGUCAUUAUGAAAAGAAUUGUGUUGAUGCCUCAAAAAUCUAAAAAUACAAUUCAGCAAUUCCACUGCAAGGUAUAUAUCCAAAGGAAAGAAAAUUAGUAUAUCAAAGAGAUAUUUGCCCUCCCAUGUUUAUUGAACACUAUUCACAACAGCCAAAAUGUGAAAUCAGCCUGAGGGUAAAUCAAUAGAUAAAUGGAUAAAAAUGUGGUAUAAAUAUAAAGGUGUAUAUAUACGUACACAUAUGAUAGAAUAUUAUUAGGUCAUAAGAAAAAUGGAGUCCUGUCAUUUGCAGCAACAUGGAAGGAGGUCAUUAAGGUCAUUAUGUUAAGUGAAAUAAGCCAGGGAAGAAAGACAAAUAUUGCAUGUUCUCAUUCAUAUGUGGGACUAAAAAAAGUGGAUCUCUUGAAGGUAGUGAAUAGGAUGUUGGUUACCAGAGGCUGGGAAGGGAGGAUGAGUAGGGGAGGAAUAAAGAAAAGUUAAGGGUAAAAAAACAUAUUUAUAAGAAAUAAGUUCUACUCUUUACAGAUGGAGAUUUAGUUUAAUUUUUCUGAAUAUAGAUAUUUAAUAGUACAAUAAGGAUAUUACAGUUAAAAAUAAUUUGUUAUAUUUUUCAAUAUAGCUAGAAGAGAAGAGUUGUAAUGUUCUCAACACAAGAAAAAGAUAAAUGAGGGUAAUGGGUAUCCCGAUUACCCUGAUUUGAUUGUUACACAUUAUACACAUGUAUGAAAAUACCACAUGUACCCCAAAAAUAUGUACAACUAUGAUAUAUCACUAAAAAACAAUUUAUUGUCCCAGUCUUAUUAAUGUCUUGAAACUAAUUUCUUAAGUUCUAAGAUGCAUUGAUUGCAUGUCCAUUACAAAAGUUAGUAUUGGACAAUAAAUAUUAAAACCAUUCUGAGCAUGUUAUAUAUAUGUUAAUUGUGAGAUUGAAUUUAAAGAUGUUGCUUUUAUUACUGAUUAGCAUUUUUUGUAACUAAGUAACUAUUUCUUGGCCAGGCGCAGUGGCUCACGCCUGUAAUCCCAGCAUUUUGGGAGGCCGAGAUGGGCAGAUAACCUGAGGUCAGGAGUUCAAGACCAGCCUGACCAACAUGGAGAAACCCGGUUUAUACUAAAAAUACAAAAUUAACCAGGCAUGGUGGCACAGGUCUGUAAUCCCAGCUACUUGGGAGGCUGAGGAAGGAGAAUCCCUUGAACCCAGGAGGUAGGGGUUGAGGUGAGCCGAGAUUGUGCCUUUGCACUCCAGCCUGGACAACAAGAAUGAAACUCUGUCUCAAAAAAUAAAAUAAAAUAAAAUAAAAUGAAAUAAAAAUAAGAUAAAAUAAAAUUAAAAUAAAAUAAAUAACUAUUUCUUGAGUGUCUCCAAUAUAUAUGCUGGAUGCUGUUAUAGCAAAUAAGAAAACUGACAAUAUUAUUAUCCUAUAUACCAUGCAUGGUUUAUUUUCUUUUGAGUGACUUUUUUUUUUGUAACUUUUUAUUUUGAAGUAAUUAUAGACUCACAGGAAGUUGUAAGGAAGGGUACAGGGAGGUCCCAUGGAGAGUCCCUGGUAAGGAAGACUUACCAGCCUUCUCUAAUGUUAAAUUAGUGCAAUACCAAAACCAAAACCAGAAAAUUGACAUUGGUAAAACUACAGAACUUAUUCAUAAUUCACAGGUAUAGAUACAGUGAUUAUUAUAAAUGUAUGUAUUUCUUUGAAAUUUUGUCAUGUAACUUACCAUAUUUAAGACACAGACUGUCCCAUCAUCAAAUGGCUCCUUUGUUCUACCCAACUAUAGACAUCCUUACACAUACUCAUCUUAACCCCUGACAACCACUAACCUGUUUUCCAUUUUCUAUAGUUUUGGCAUUUCGAGAAUGUUAUAUAAAUGGAAUCAUACAUUAGGUAAUAAUUGGAGGUUAGCUUUUUCCACUCAGGAUAAUUGCCCUGAGGUUCAUCCAAGUUGUUUUAUGUAUCAAUAGUCUGUUCCUUUAUAUUUCUAAGUGUAUUCUGUGGUUUGGUUGUAUCACAGCUUGUAUAGCCAUUCACCUGUGAAAUGAAAUCUGGAUUAUUUCCAGGUCUUGGAUAUUAAAUAUAAAGCUGCAAUGAGGAUUCAAGUACAAGUUUCUGUAUGAACAUAAGUGUAAUUUCUCUGGGAUAAAUUCCUAAGAGUGCAAUUCUUGAGACUUAUUUUAGGUCAUUUUUUGUUUUAAAAGAAACUGACAAACUAUUUUCCAGAGUAGUUGUAUCAUUUUACAUUUUCUUCAGCAAUAUAUGAGCGAUUUAGUGUCUCUGUUUUGCCAGCAUUGAGAAUUUUCAUAAGCUUUUAUUUUCAUAAUUUAUAUAGGUAUGUAGUACUAUCUCAUUUUAGUUUUAAUUUGCAUUUCCCUGGUGGCUAAUGAUAUAGAAAUUCCUUUUAUGUGCUUAUUUGCCAUAUAUCUUCUUCAGUGAAACAUCUGUUCAUGUAUUUUUCUCAUUUUCUACUUUAAUUUGUGGUGUUGCUUACAUGGUUUAAAGCCAUCUUUUUAUAUUCUAAAUGUGUGUUAGAUGUAUGAGUUACCAAUAUUUAUUAUCUCCCAAUCUGUAAUUUGACUUUUCUUUUAAUGGUGUUUUUACAGAAUAAAGGUUUUUAAAAUUCUUUUCAAUGAAGUCAAUUUAUACUCUUAAUUAGUUGCUAAUUUAAUAAGUUUGACGGGUAUUUCUUAUAUAGUUUAGUGAGAAACUAAUAAUAUACUUACUAUGUCAUCAAGAUUUCUUUUUCAGCAAUAUUUAUAUUAUAGAAUGGGCAAAAAAAGUAUUCAUUAAAAGGAACCAUUUUGGCUAUAUUACAACUUCUCUUAGAAAAUAUGCCACCUUUCGAUAUCGCUUUUCAGAAACACUAAUAUUUUAAUCCUCAUAAAUUCCAGUUUUUACACAUGGGACAUAUUAAAAUGUUGUUUUGUUUUCCAAAAUAGAAUGAUUAUCAUUGAUUUUGUU
ensembl:lincRNA